rnacentral:lncRNA from 1 species
AUAUGCACAUACAGAGCCUUCUGAAGGGCUUCCUGUACCCAGGAACCUUAAGAGCAGGUAGGUCAUGUAACUCACAGGGCCCGGAAGAGGGUGCAGUCACCGUCCUCACUUAGCAGAAGAGGAGCAGAGGAACGUGGACCUCACAGCUGGGACUCGGGAGCCGGGUAGAACCCACAGCCUGGAGGCAGCUGAGUGGUCAGGGAGAGAAGGAAGUGACCUGAGACCUCAGCAGUCCCGCCUGGUAGCUCCUGCCCAGGGAGACCCCUCUGAGGAGCAGACUUCUGGAAGAGGGUGAUGCCAGGAAAUGCCUCAUCCCUGCCAUACACCCUGUCUGCUGUGGACAUCCCAACAGUCCUAGAUCCUUCCUGCUCCCCUCCACUGCUCUGAGACUCAGUCACACCAUGGUCUACCUCAGAUCUGCAAAGCUCAUUGUUCUGGACUAAUGUCUGCCUCUGAGACACCUCCACCCCAAUAGCCCUGCUGGGUCCUGCUGGAGGAGGAAAACUAUAAAAUCUGCCUCUAACACUCAAGGUACAGCCUACCUGCUAAAAUACAUGACUCAAUAAUGGUUGUGAUAGUUCUGGUGAUG